GGUUGUUGCUGGUCUUCAACGGGGACAUGUGCACGCUCUGUUUACACAUCCACUCACACCUGUGCACCCUCCGUAGUUCUAUGGUCUGGGGGACCCUGUCUUCCUGCCGUGGUUCUACGUCUUUACACACACUCUGUAAUAAAGUCUUAUGGAAUGUAUGCCGCGUCUAACGCAAUACAAUACAACUUUCAGCAACGGAUCUCUUGGCUCUCGCAUCGAUGAAGAACGCAGCGAAAUGCGAUAAGUAAUGUGAAUUGCAGAAUUCAGUGAAUCAUCGAAUCUUUGAACGCACCUUGCGCCCCUUGGCUAUUCCGAGGGGCAUGCCUGUUUGAGUAUCAUGAACACCUCAACUCUCAUGGUUCGCCAUGAUGAGCUUGGACUCUGGGGGUUUUGCUGGCCUGUGGUCGGCUCCCCUCAAAUGAAUCAGCCUCCCAGUGUUUGGUGGCAUCACGGGUGUGAUAAAUAUCUACGCUCGCGGUUGUCUGCCAGGUAACCUUUGGUGACAAAGGUUCGCUGGAGCUCACAGAUGUCUCUCCUCGGCGAGGACAGCUUUUUUGAACGUUCGAUCUCAAAUCAGGUAGGACUACCCGCUGAACUUAAGCAUAUCAUAA
rnacentral:rRNA from 1 species